rnacentral:RNase_P_RNA from 1 species
CUACAAAUUCGAACUAUCGAUAUGUAAAAACAUAUAGGAAAGUCCGGACAGCAUAGAGCAACUUACCGGUGAAAUACCGGCUUUCGGUAACGAAAAGAGAAAGUGCCACAGAAAAUAACUACCUUGAAAAAGGAAAAGGUGAAAAUGUGCGGUAAAAGCGUACAAUUUAAAUUGGUAACAGUUUAAAUGGGUAAACCUUAAGUGCUGUAAUGCCAUGUAUAGGAACGUUUGAAAUUUGCUCGAUUGAGUUCCAGGGUAGGCAGCAUGACUUUAAUAGUAAUAUUAAAGCUAGAUAAAUGAUAGUUUAAAAACAGAAUCCGGCUUAUGAAAUUUGUAGCUUU